GUCCAUGCCCUAAACGAUGAUUACUCGAUGUGUGCGAUAUACAGUACGCGUCUAAGCGAAAGCAUUAAGUAAUCCACCUGGGAAGUACGACCGCAAGGUUGAAACUCAAAGGAAUUGACGGGGGCCCGCACAAGCGGAGGAGCAUGUGGUUUAAUUCGAUGAUACGCGAGGAACCUUACCCGGGCUUGAAAGUUAUGGAAUGAUGUGGAAACAUGUCAGUCAGCAAUGACCAGAAACUAGGUGCUGCAUGGCUGUCGU
rnacentral:rRNA from 1 species